AUGCAAGUCGAACGGUAACAGGAAGCAGCUUGCUGCUUCGCUGACGAGUGGCGGACGGGUGAGUAAUGUCUGGGAAACUGCCUGAUGGAGGGGGAUAACUACUGGAAACGGUAGCUAAUACCGCAUAACGUCGCAAGACCAAAGAGGGGGACCUUCGGGCCUCUUGCCAUCGGAUGUGCCCAGAUGGGAUUAGCUAGUAGGUGGGGUAACGGCUCACCUAGGCGACGAUCCCUAGCUGGUCUGAGAGGAUGACCAGCCACACUGGAACUGAGACACGGUCCAGACUCCUACGGGAGGCAGCAGUGGGGAAUAUUGCACAAUGGGCGCAGGCCUGAUGCAGCCAUGCCGCGUGUAUGAAGAAGGCCUUCGGGUUGUAAAGUACUUUCAGCGGGGAGGAAGGGAGUAAAGUUAAUACCUUUGCUCAUUGACGUUACCCGCAGAAGAAGCACCGGCUAACUCCGUGCCAGCAGCCGCGGUAAUACGGAGGGUGCAAGCGUUAAUCGGAAUUACUGGGCGUAAAGCGCACGCAGACGGUUUGUUAAGUCAGAUGUGAAAUCCCCGGGCUCAACCUGGGAACUGCAUCUGAUACUGGCAAGCUUGAGUCUCGUAGAGGGGGGUAGAAU
rnacentral:rRNA from 1 species